UACGUAGGGUGCGAGCGUUAAUCGGAAUUACUGGGCGUAAAGGGUGCGUAGGUGGUUAGGUAAGUUAAGUGUGAAAGCCCCGGGCUCAACCUGGGAAUGCCGCUUAAUACUGCCUAACUAGAGUAUUGUAGAGGAAAGUGGAAUUUCCGGUGUAGCGGUGAAAUGCGUAGAUAUCGGAAGGAACAUCAGUGGCGAAGGCGACUUUCUGGACAAAUACUGACACUGAGGCACGAAGGCCAGGGGAGCAAACGGG
rnacentral:rRNA from 1 species